rnacentral:tRNA from 1 species
GCGUCGGUAGUUCAAUGGCCAGGCGUCAUAAAACAAACGGGCUGAAAUUUCGCCCUUCCAAGGCGAUGAUCCGGGUUCGAAUCCCGGCCGACGCA